rnacentral:rRNA from 1 species
ACGGGAGGCAGCAGUGAGGAAUAUUGGUCGAUGGGCGGAAGCCUGAACCAGCCAAGUCGCGUGAAGGAUGAAGGUAUUAUGUAUUGUAAACUUCUUUAGCCAGGGGGCAAUAAGGCGUACGCGUACGCCGAUGAGAGUACCUGGAGAAUAAGGAUCGGCUAACUCCGUGCCAGCAGCCGCGGUAAUACGGAGGAUCCGAGCGUUAUCCGGAUUUAUUGGGUUUAAAGGGUGCGCAGGCGGCCCGUUAAGUCAGCGGUGAAAUGUCGGGGCUCAACCCGGGCACUGCCGUUGAAACUGGGGGGCUUGAGUACGGAUGAGGUCGGCGGAAUGUGACGUGUAGCGGUGAAAUGCAUAGAUAUGUCACAGAACACCGAUUGCGAAGGCAGCCGGCCAAUCCGCAACUGACGCUCAUGCACGAAAGCGUGGGGAUCGAACAGGAUUAGAUACCCUGGUA